rfam:Aspergillus wentii DTO 134E9 unplaced genomic scaffold ASPWEscaffold_3, whole genome shotgun sequence.
GCCUGGGUGGUCUAGUGGUAUGAUUCUCGCUUUGUAAGUUCAGCAAUUUGCCGUAUCGCAAAUGUACACCACUAACAUUCACUCAAGGGGUUCACCAUCCGAUAUGCGAGAGGCCCCGGGUUCAAAUCCCGGCUCGGGCC